rnacentral:rRNA from 1 species
UAGGGAAUCUUCGGCAAUGGGGGGAACCCUGACCGAGCAACGCCGCGUGAGUGAAGAAGGUUUUCGGAUCGUAAAGCUCUGUUGUAAGAGAAGAACGGGUGUGAGAGUGGAAAGUUCACACUGUGAUGGUAUCUUACCAGAAAGGGACGGCUAACUACGUGCCAGCAGCCGCGGUAAUACGUAGGUCCCGAGCGGUGUCCGGAUUUAUUGGGCGUAAAGCGAGCGCAGGCGGUUAGAUAAGUCUGAAGUUAAAGGCUGUGGCUUAACCAUAGUAUGCUUUGGAAACUGUUUAACUUGAGUGCAGAAGGGGAGAGUGGAAUUCCAUGUGUAGCGGUGAAAUGCGUAGAUAUAUGGAGGAACACCGGUGGCGAAAGCGGCUCUCUGGUCUGUAACUGACGCUGAGGCUCGAAAGCGUGGGGAGCAAACA